CUCCCUCGUUGCUGAUCUCAGGUUCGAUAAUGCCAAAUCGCAUCACCUCGCCUAAAACCAACUUCGAUGAAGCGACGGGCGGUGUGUG
rnacentral:rRNA from 1 species